rnacentral:tRNA from 1 species
AUUUAGAUAGCUUAAACAGAGCAUCGCUCUGAAGAGGCGAAGGUGGUAAGGCCUCUAAAUA